UUUGUUUUUUGUUGUUUUGUUUUUGUUUUGUUGUUGUGGGUUUUGUUUGUUUUUGCAUACACAUGUCAUGUCUGAAGCACAUGCAUGCAGUACCCAGUGAUGCUAGGAAAAAGCACCAUCUCUUCUGGAAGUGAAGUUAGAGAGGGGAGCUGCUAUGUGGGUGCUGGGAAUUGAACCUGGGUACUCUGGAAGAGUUGUCAGUGGUCCUGCUGACAUCUCUACUGCUGAGCCAUUUCUGGCCUGGGCUUCAGCUCCUUAACUAGUUCUGAUGGUUACCAUGAUACAGUCAUUCCCAUACCCUCAUGCCCUCCUUGUCCCUUAAAUGAACUUAUAAGGGUUUUCUAAAGCAAGGCUUGGAAGAUGUGUGAAAGGCGAGGUAGUCUAUAACUCAGCUGCUGUCAUCACAGCACACACCUUCGUCCUAGCUUUAGCCACGUUUCUUCCUGCUGCUUCGAGGUCAAACUAUGUCAUCCCCGUGUCACUGGGAAUUCUGCCACUCUCCCUGACUUUGCACUCUGCUUUUCUUCUGUGGUUUUCUCUUAUCUCCUACAACUUCUGAGCUAAUGUACAUGCAAUGAGCUUUUUCCCCAAGUUGCUCUUGACUACCUCCCAGCCUUGAUUAAUAUUUAUUUGUUUGUUUGUUUGUUUGUUUGUUGUUAUUUAUUUAUUUAUUUAUGUGCCCUAGGCAUGAAACAGCUUUGGCCAUCAAACCAGGCAUUAAUCUAGGAUGAAUAACUGCCAUCCACUCUGCCCCUGACUGAUAUAAGAACACCACUGCCAUAGGUGUCUCUUUGCCCAUUGCCCGGGGGGUAUUUCUGUCCUCAAGAAUCAGUAAUGCCUAUUUUUUAAAAAGUCUUAAUAAUCUCUCCAUUAAGGAAGUAUCAACUGCUAAAUC
rnacentral:lncRNA from 1 species